rnacentral:rRNA from 1 species
UACGGAGGGUGCAAGCGUUGUCCGGAAUUAUUGGGCGUAAAGAGCGCGUAGGCGGUCUGGCGCGUCUGCUGUGAAAACUCGGGGCUUAACCCCGGGCCUGCAGUGGGUACGGGCAGACUAGAGUGCGGUAGGGGAGACUGGAAUUCCUGGUGUAGCGGUGAAAUGCGCAGAUAUCAGGAGGAACACCGGUGGUGUAGACGGCUUUCUGGACCGUAACUGACGCUGAGACACGAAAGCGUGGGUAGCAAACAGG